rnacentral:rRNA from 1 species
UGAGGAAUAUUGGUCAAUGGAGGCAACUCUGAACCAGCCACGUCGCGUGAAGGAUGAAGGUCUUAUGGAUUGUAAACUUCUUUUAUACAGGAAUAAAUUGAGUCACGUGUGGCUUUUUGCAUGUACUGUAUGAAUAAGGAUCGGCUAACUCCGUGCCAGCAGCCGCGGUAAUACGGAGGAUCCGGGCGUUAUCCGAAUUUAUUGGGUUUAAAGGGUGCGCAGGCGGGAUGUUAAGUCGGCGGUGAAAUUUUGCGGCUCAACCGUAAAAGUGCCUUCGAAACUGGCAUUCUUGAGUAUGGAUGAAGUAGGCGGAAUUUGUGGUGUAGCGGUGAAAUGCUUAGAUAUCACGAGGAACUCCGAUUGCGCAGGCAGCUUACUAAACCAUAACUGACGCUCAUGCACGAAGGCGUGGGGAUCAAACA